GCCGAUGUAGCUCAGCUGGAAGAGCAGACCCUUCGUAAGGGUAAGGUCGGUGGUUCGAUCCCACCCAUCGGCU
rfam:Candidatus Woesebacteria bacterium RIFOXYB1_FTLL_40_26 rifoxyb1_full_scaffold_6334, whole genome shotgun sequence.